rnacentral:rRNA from 1 species
AAAGCGUGCGCAGGCGGUUAUGUAAGACAGAUGUGAAAUCCCCGGGCUCAACCUGGGAACUGCAUUUGUGACUGCAUGGCUAGAGUACGGUAGAGGGGGAUGGAAUUCCGCGUGUAGCAGUGAAAUGCGUAGAUAUGUGGAGGAACACCGAUGGCGAAGGCAAUCCCCUGGACCUGUACUGACGCUCAUGCACGAAAGCGUGGGGAGCAAACAGGAUUAGAUACCCCGGU